rnacentral:lncRNA from 1 species
CUGGCGAGGAGCUAAGCACGUUCAGAGGGCUGACAAUUAAGUUUCCGCAAUACGUAUACAUUUAUUUAAACGGGAACGUCGGAAUCUCUGGAAACGCAGUUUUAAAAUGUAAACCUAUAGGGGCGUUUGCUUGCUUGCUUGCUUGCUUAAGGCCUGCCUCCGUCUCCGCACAGCGUCGCUUUCAGAGCGCCUGGGAGACGGAUGAUGUAGGUCCUACUUCCCGGGUCCGAACUGGCGCCCAGAUGUUUGAGGGAGUCGAUGCCUCAGGAAGAGAUGGAGUUGGGAGGCCGGCGAAGGAGGCUGAGGACAGUCUAGCUCUGCUGCCUGCCUGCCUACCUUGGACUCCGUAUCCGGGAGCUGGGUGGCCUUCCUUCAAAGGGCAGCGCAGCCCAGAAGGAUUUCUGUCAUCACCCCAGCCACCCUGCAACUCUGGUAAGAGAAUUUGCCUGUGACCUGGGAAUUCUACCUAGAAUUGGAGCUGAACUAUCAGCGGGGAUGAUAAAAUACAUUUUCUGUGCAUUCUUUAAAAGGUUUGGAUUAGCUCUUCCUUCCUCCCUCUCCUUCCUUCCUUCCUUCCUUUUAUUUUGUCAUGCCCGCAGCAUGUAGAAGUUCUGGGCCAGGGAUCAAACCCAGGCGGCAGCAGUGACCUGAGCCACUGCAGUGACAAGGCCAGAUCCUUAACCUGCUGCACCAAAAGGGAACUCGGUGGAUUAACUUCAAUGAAGAAAAUCAUCUGCAUCCCAACUGCACAGAGGUUUGGGGUUUUUUACUCCUGUCUCUUUCCUGCAUAUUUUUACCUGUGUCUUAAUUCCCCGGUCACUGAACAGUUGAGUACCUUACCCAGGCCAGACCCCGGUGCCAGACGCUGAAGCAAGCAGGGAAAUGACCUGAAGCCUGCCCUUGAGAGUAUCAAACACACAUAUUGCCCAGGGCCCCGGCCAGGCAGGCCCAGAGCCCAGGAAAGCCUGCAGGAGGAAGAGACCCUCAAAGCCUCCCACAGCCAGAUUGUGUGGUCAAGGGUCCUUCGGGGCUGUGAUGGUCCCUUGCCUUCACAGUGAAAGUGUUUGUGUAAAAAUAACUCCUGGGUUCCUUGCAGGGUUUUUCUGGACAUCUGUGCCACAAUUUCUUUCUGCCUUCCAGGGAUUCCUGGUGAGUGUCAGCUUUGCUAGAAUUUCACUGGUGAGUUGCAGGGACUCGCCAUGAAUAUCUGCCUCCCAAGGUAGAGGUUAGAGAAUAGAGAUGCAGGUACACUCUAAAAGGAAGAAAUAAACUUUAGAAAUCCUGUGCCCUAUCA